rnacentral:rRNA from 1 species
AUACAGAGGUCUCAAGCGUUGUUCGGAUUCAUUGGGCGUAAAGGGUGCGUAGGCGGCGAGGUAAGUCGGAUGUGAAAUCCCGGGGCUCAACCCUGGAACUGCAUUCGAUACUGCUUUGCUUGAGUACUGGAGAGGAGACUGGAAUUUACGGUGUAGCAGUGAAAUGCGUAGAUAUCGUAAGGAAGACCAGUGGCGAAGGCGAGUCUCUGGACAGUUACUGACGCUGAGGCACGAAGGCCAGGGGAGCAAACGGGA